rnacentral:lncRNA from 1 species
AGUUUUUUGAGAUUUUCCUUAAUCUUAGAGUGCUUAUUUAAAAUAAAAUGCAAGAUUUUGUUAUUUAUAUUGAGACGUUGAUUUUUGUCUCGCCUUGACAAAGGUAAGCUGUUUCUGGUGUCGUUGGAUUAGGUCUAGUUUAUGGAUCUAGUUGUAGGUCAAUAAUAUUUAUUAUACAGUUGUAUAAGCAUUGGACAACAUCAUUCUUAUGGAAAUAUUUUGGCCUUGCCCCUCAGCCAGAGUCUAAUGACUUUGUGAAACUUUUGUUUUGUUUUCAUGUAUUCGUUUGUGAUAAGAUCAGUUCAUGGGGAGCCAUUUGUGGUAGGCCAAUGUAAAUUGAUAUGCAGUUGUAUAAGCAUUGGCCUAUCUAAUUUCCAUGGAAAUUA